GAUGAAGAACGUAGCGAAAUGCGAUAAGUAAUGUGAAUUGCAGAAUUCAGUGAAUCAUCGAAUCUUUGAACGCACAUUGCGCCCGCCAGUAUUCUGGCGGGCAUGCCUGUCCGAGCGUCAUUUCAACCCUCGCGCCCAUCUGGGCUGCGGUGUUGGGGACCGGCCUGCCCCCCGGGGCGCGCCGCCCCCCAAAUUCAGUGGCGGUCUCGCUGCAGCCUCCCUUGCGUAGUAGCACACCUCGCACCGGAGCGCAGCGCGGCCACGCCGUAAAACCCCCGACCCCCAUGAGUUUGACCUCGGAUCAGGUAGGAAUACCCGCUGAACUUAAGCAUAUCAAUAAGCGGAAGA
rnacentral:misc_RNA from 1 species